AAGAGUUGCAAAACUCCCAAACCAUUGUGAACAUACCUUCAACGUUGCUUCGGCGGGUUGGCCCCGGUCUCCGGGGUCCCCGGCCCUACUCGGGCGCCCGCCGGAGGUAUCUAACUCUUGAACUUUUAUGGCCUCUCUGAGUCUUUGUACUUAAUAAGUCAAAACUUUCAACAACGGAUCUCUUGGUUCUGGCAUCGAUGAAGAACGCAGCGAAAUGCGAUAAGUAAUGUGAAUUGCAGAAUUCAGUGAAUCAUCGAAUCUUUGAACGCACAUUGCGCCCGCCAGUAUUCUGGCGGGCAUGCCUGUUCGAGCGUCAUUUCAACCAUCAAGCCCCCGGCUUGUGUUGGGGACCUGCGGCUGCCGCAGGCCCUGAAAACCAGUGGCGGGCUCGCUAGUCACUCCGAGCGUAGUAAUACAUCUCGCUCAGGGCGUGCUGCGGGUUCCGGCCGUUAAAAAGCCUUAUUUACCCAAG
rnacentral:misc_RNA from 1 species